rnacentral:rRNA from 1 species
AUUGAACGCUGGCGGCAGGCCUAACACAUGCAAGUCGAACGGUAACAGGAAGAAGCUUGCUUCUUUGCUGACGAGUGGCGGACGGGUGAGUAAUGUCUGGGAAACUGCCUGAUGGAGGGGGAUAACUACUGGAAACGGUAGCUAAUACCGCAUAACGUCGCAAGACCAAAGAGGGGGACCUUCGGGCCUCUUGCCAUCGGAUGUGCCCAGAUGGGAUUAGCUAGUAGGUGGGGUAACGGCUCACCUAGGCGACGAUCCCUAGCUGGUUUGAGAGGAUGACCAGCCACACUGGAACUGAGACACGGUCCAGACUCCUACGGGAGGCAGCAGUGGGGAAUAUUGCACAAUGGGCGCAAGCCUGAUGCAGCCAUGCCGCGUGUAUGAAGAAGGCCUUCGGGUUGUAAAGUACUUUCAGCGGGGAGGAAGGGAGUAAAGUUAAUACCUUUGCUCAUUGACGUUACCCGCAGAAGAAGCACCGGCUAACUCCGUG